GAUGAACGCUGGCGGCGUGCCUAAUACAUGCCAGUCGAGCGAACAGAUAAGGAGCUUGCUCCUUUGACGUUAGCGGCGGACGGGUGAGUAACACGUGGGUAACCUACCUAUAAGACUGGGAUAACUUCGGGAAACCGGAGCUAAUACCGGAUAACAUUUGGAACCGCAUGGUUCUAAAGUGAAAGAUGGUUUUGCUAUCACUUAUAUAUGGACCCGCGCCGUAUUAGCUAGUUGGUAAGGUAACGGCUUACCAAGGCGACGAUACGUAGCCGACCUGAGAGGGUGAUCGGCCACACUGGAACUGAGACACGGUCCAGACUCCUACGGGAGGCAGCAGUAGGGAAUCUUCCGCAAUGGGCGAAAGCCUGACGGAGCAACGCCGCGUGAGUGAUGAAGGGUUUCGGCUCGUAAAACUCUGUUAUUAGGGAAGAACAAACGUGUAAGUAACUGUGCACGUCUUGACGGUACCUAAUCAGAAAGCCACGGCUAACUACGUG
rnacentral:rRNA from 1 species